CGAAGUAAUAUUAACCCUUUCACUUACACCGAAAGAAAGCUAAAAUUAGCUACUUCGC
rnacentral:tRNA from 1 species